rnacentral:rRNA from 1 species
AACGAACGCUGGCGGCAUGCCUAACACAUGCAAGUCGAACGAGACCUUCGGGUCUAGUGGCGCACGGGUGCGUAACGCGUGGGAACCUGCCCUUAGGUUCGGAAUAACUCCCCGAAAGGGGUGCUAAUACCGGAUAAUGUCUUCGGACCAAAGAUUUAUCGCCCUUGGAUGGGCCCGCGUUGGAUUAGCUAGUUGGUAGGGUAAAAGCCUACCAAGGCGACGAUCCAUAGCUGGUCUGAGAGGAUGAUCAGCCACACUGGGACUGAGACACGGCCCAGACUCCUACGGGAGGCAGCAGUGGGGAAUAUUGGACAAUGGGCGAAAGCCUGAUCCAGCAAUGCCGCGUGAGUGAUGAAGGCCUUAGGGUUGUAAAGCUCUUUUACCCGGGAUGAUAAUGACAGUACCGGGAGAAUAAGCCCCGGCUAACUCCGUG